rnacentral:lncRNA from 1 species
UUUCUCUUAUUGGCUGGAUAGUUGGAAGGUAUUUCAUUGUAUGUAUCUAAGCAAGUGAUACGUCUAGGUCCUCCAUCAUCUACCCUUAUUGAUUAUAGUUUUCUUGAAUUCAUUGCCACGAGUUUUCUUGAGCUUUUCCAUCAUACUUCUUGAGCUUUGCCAUGAGUCUUCUUGUGCUUUGCCAUGAGUCUUCUUGUGCUUUUCCACGAGUCUUCUUGAGCUUUACCAUCACGAGUCUUCUUGAGCUUUGCCAUCAUGAGUCUUCUUUAGCUUUGCCAUGAGACUUAUUGAGCUUUGCCAUGAGACUUAUUGAGCUUUGCUAUCAGACUUCUUGAGCUUUGCCAUGAGACUUCGUGAGCUUUGCCAUGAGUCUUGUUCAGCUUUGCCAUGAGUCUUCGUGAGCUUUGCCAUGAGUCUUCUUGUGUUUUGCCAUAAGUCUUCUUGAGCUUUUACAUGAAGGAUGAAGGGUUCAGGUUUUGGAAACAGCGGAUGGAGUUACAGUUAAAGUUUAGAUUUUAUUAUCUUUGCAUUCAUUAUUUUCUUUGUUGUUAUUCUUUUUGCUACUCUUGUGGAGUGGGAGUUCUUGUAAUUGGGCCUUUGACUUUGAUGAUUUGACUAUCUUCUACUUGUGUUGUAGUGAACUUUGAGCUUUGCCAUGAGUCUUCUUGAGCUUUGCCAUGAUACUUGUUGAGCUUUGCAAUGAGUCUUCUUGAGCUUUGCCAUGAAUCUUCUUGAGCUUUUACAUGAAGGAUGUAGGGGUCAGGUUUUGGAAACAGCAGAUGGAGAUACAGUUAAAGUUUAGGUUUUAUUAUCUUUGCAUUUAUUAUGCUGAUAAAAGAAAAAAUUGCAUUCAUUAUUUGCUUUUCUGUUAUUCUUUUUGCUAGUCUUGUGGACUGGGAGUUCUUGUAAUUGGGCCUUUGACUUUGAUGGUCUGAUUAUCUUUUUCUACUUGUGUUGGAAUGAACACUUACCAUGGAAGCUUCAGGUUUUAUUACUUUUCUACUCACUAUUUUUCUUAUGUGCUCGAUUUGGAAUGUCUACAGUUUCUCUUAUUGGCUGGAUAGUUGGAAGGUAUUUCAUUGUAUGUAUCUAAGCAGGAGUGAUACGUCUAGGUCCUCCAUCAUCUACCCUUAUUGAUUAUAGUUUUCUUGAAUUCAUUGGCCUUACAGGAAAACUAAGCAAUGAAGUGUGGUGUAGGAUGUAAAAAUGGUGGGUGGAAAUUCUUUGAUCGGUGAAGCUAAAUGUUUUUUUCACCAGGACAUUGUUGUGUUCAUCUGAAUUAAUUUUUAACUGGCACAACUUGU